rnacentral:rRNA from 1 species
UACGUACCGUACGAACGUUAUUCGGAAUUACUGGGCUUAAAGGGUUUGUAGGUGGCCUUGUAAGUCAGGUGUGAAAUCCCUCGGCUCAACCGAGGAACAGCGCUUGAUACUGCAAGGCUUGAGGGAGACAGGGGUAAGCGGAACUGAUGGUGGAGCGGUGAAAUGCGUUGAUAUCAUCAGGAACACCGGUGGCGAAAGCGGCUUACUGGGUCUCUUCUGACGCUGAGGAACGAAAGCUAGGGUAGCGAACGGG